rfam:Polynucleobacter necessarius subsp. necessarius STIR1, complete genome.
GUACAGGCUUUACUCAAAGCCAACAACAUCCCUUGCAAAAUCAAU